rnacentral:rRNA from 1 species
AGGGUUUGAUCCUGGCUCAGAACGUACGCUGGCGGCACGCCUAAUACAUGCAAGUCGAACGAAGUAGCAAUACUUAGUGGCAGACGGGUGAGUAACAUGUAGGUAUCUUCCCAUUGGUGAGGAAUAACACGAGGAAACUUGUGCUAAUACCUCAUAAGUCUUUACGGAGAAAGCUUUAUGCGCCGAUGGAUGAGCCUGCACUUGAUUAGUUUGUUGGUAGGGUAAUGGCCUACCAAGACAAUGAUCAAUAGCUGAUUUGAGAGGAUGAUCAGCCACAUUGGGACUGAGACACGGCCCAAACUCCUACGGGAGGCAGCAGUAGGGAAUCUUGCACAAUGGGGGAAACCCUGAUGCAGCGAUGCCGCGUGAGUGAAGAAGGCCUUUGGGUUGUAAAGCUCUUUCGUCGGGGAAGAAAAUGACUGUACCCGAAUAAGAAGGUCCGGCUAACUUCGUGCCAGCAGCCGCGGUAAUACGAAGGGACCUAGCGUAGUUCGGAAUUACUGGGCUUAAAGAGUUCGUAGGUGGUUAAAAAAGUUGGUGGUGAAAUCCCAGAGCUUAACUCUGGAACUGCCAUCAAAACUUUUUAGCUAGAGUAUGAUAGAGGAAAGCAGAAUUUCUAGUGUAGAGGUGAAAUUCGUAGAUAUUAGAAAGAAUACCAAUUGCGAAGGCAGCUUUCUGGAUCAUUACUGACACUGAGGAACGAAAGCAUGGGUAGCGAAGAGGAUUAGAUACCCUCGUAGUCCAUGCCGUAAACGAUGUGUGUUAGACGUUGGAAAUUUAUUUUCUGUGUCGCAGCGAAAGCAAUAAACACACCGCCUGGGGAGUACGACCGCAAGGUUAAAACUCAAAUGAAUUGACGGGGACCCGCACAAGUAGUGGAGCAUGUGGUUUAAUUCGAAGAUACGCGCAGAACCUUACCAACACUUGACAUGUUCGUCGCGACUUUAAGAGAUUAAAGUUUUCGGUUCGGCCGGACGAAACACAGGUGCUGCAUGGCUGUCGUCAGCUCGUGUCGUGAGAUGUUGGGUUAAGUCCCGCAACGAGCGCAACCCUCACUUUUAGUUGCCAUCAUUAAGUUGGGCACUCUGAAAGAACUGCCAGUGAUAAGCUGGAGGAAGGUGGGGAUGACGUCAAGUCCUCAUGGCCCUUACGUGUUGGGCUACACACGUGCUACAAUGGCAUUUACAAUAGGAAGCAAAACGGCGACGUUAAGCAAAUCCUAAAAAAAUGCCUCAGUUCGGAUUGUACUCUGCAACUCGAGUACAUGAAGCUGGAAUUACUAGUAAUCGCGGAUCAGCGCGCCGCGGUGAAUACGUUCCCGGGUCUUGUACACACCGCCCGUCACACCAUGGGAGUUGGUUCUACCUUAAGGCAAAGUUUAAUACCUUUGACCACGGUAUAGUCAGCGACUGGGGUGAAGUCAUAACAAGGUAGCCGUA